CUAAUCCCCCUGCUACUGCCUUCUCUGUGGUGCUGUGGCUGGGCUACUUUAACUCCACUGUCAACCCCAUCCUGUACCCGGCCCUGAACAGGGACUUCCGCAGGGCCUAUGAGGAGCUGCUGUGCUGGAUGGGGGCUAGCGUGGAGACACACGUCCACAACUAUCUGUGUGUCCCUGCAGAAACGAGUGCCAUCUUUCUAAUGCACACAGAGACACUCAUCUGACCAAUGGCCACAGAGACACCCUCCUCAAGGACAAUCAACCAGAGGGGAAGAGCCUCACACUGCAGGAGAGAAACAGCAGCACCAUCGCUGACCAGACCAGAUGAGCCAGACAGACACAUAACACAGGUGCAGCAUGUCCACUCAGAGCUAUGUUGGAUGGAUUCUAGGAGGUUGGCGGAGGGGAAAGAAGGACAUCUAGAAGUGUCAUCCAGAGAUCCUGUAAAUAAUGUACCCCUGCGUCAACAGCUAGGCUGGAGAGUUCCACUGGGAAUAGGUUCCCUCACAUCAGUGGUUCCCAAACCCUUUUGUGUCGUGACAUCUUCCUGUCACAGCCGACAGCUCUAUCUGAGACCCGGCAGAAAUAACUGACCCACUAUUUGGAAAGUACUGGCUCACAUCAACCCAACCACCCCCACAUUCACGUGUUGCCGAGAUACACUCACCCGUUCUACCAUAAUGUAGCAUGUGACAUUUGCAAUAUGACACUUUACGUUUGGCUGUUUAUCAGAAUGUGGAGUCAUUUCCUGAUGGCUUUUCCUGAUGGGAUUCUCUGCCUCUAACCCUUUUACAGGGGCUGAGUCACUGGCUUACUGGUGUUCUUCCAUGCCGUCCAUGGGAG